CUACGGAGGAUGCGAGCGUUAUCCGGAUUUAUUAGGUUUAAAGGGUGUGUAGGCGGUAUUUUAAGUCAGUGGUGAAAUCUUUCAGCUUAACUGAGAAACUGCCAUUGAUACUGGAAUACUUGAGUAUAGUUGAGGUAGGCGGAAUAUGUAAUGUAGCGGUGAAAUGCAUAGAUAUUACAUAGAACACCGAUUGCGAAGGCAGCUUACUAAACUAUUACUGACGCUGAUGCACGAAAGCGUGGGGAGCGAACAGGAUUAGAAACCCUAGUAGUCC
rnacentral:rRNA from 1 species